GUGUCAGCAGCCGCGGUAAGACGAACCGUCCAAACGUUAUUCGGAAUCACUGGGCUUAAAGGGUGCGUAGGCGGCCCGGCAAGUUGGGUGUGAAAGCCCUCGGCUCAACCGAGGAAUUGCGCCCAAAACUGCCGGGCUCGAGGGAGAUAGAGGUGAGCGGAACUAAGGGUGGAGCGGUGAAAUGCGUUGAUAUCCUUAGGAACACCAGUAGCGUAAGCGGCUCACUAGGUCUCUUCUGACGCUGAGGCACGAAAGCCAGGGGAGCGAACGGGAUUAGAUACCCCGGUAGUCCUGGCCCUAAACGAUGAGCACUGGUUUGGAGGGUCCUCCAUAGCCCUCCAGACGUAGCGAAAGUGUUAAGUGCUCCGCCUGGGGAGUAUGGUCGCAAGGCUGAA
rnacentral:rRNA from 1 species